GAUGAACGCUGGCGGCGUGCCUAAUACAUGCAAGUCGAGCGAACAGACGAGGAGCUUGCUCCUCUGACGUUAGCGGCGGACGGGUGAGUGACACGUGGAUAACCUACCUAUAAGACUGGGAUAACUUCGGGAAACCGGAGCUAAUACCGGAUAAUAUAUUGAACCGCAUGGUUCAAUAGUGAAAGACGGUUUUGCUGUCACUUAUAGAUGGAUCCGCGCCGCAUUAGCUAGUUGGUAAGGUAACGGCUUACCAAGGCAACGAUUCGUAGCCGACCUGAGAGGGUGAUCGGCCACACUGGAACUGAGACACGGUCCAGACUCCUACGGGAGGCAGCAGUAGGGAAUCUUCCGCAAUGGGCGAAAGCCUGACGGAGCAACGCCGCGUGAGUGAUGAAGGUCUUCGGAUCGUAAAACUCUGUUAUUAGGGAAGAACAAAUGUGUAAGUAACUAUGCACGUCUUGACGGUACCUAAUCAGAAAGCCACGGCUAACUACGUG
rnacentral:rRNA from 1 species